rnacentral:rRNA from 1 species
CGCGAGUAUUCAGAGUUUGAUCCUGGCUCAGGAUGAACGCUGGCGGCGUGCAUAACACAUUCAAGUCGAACGGUGACGGAAACUUCGGUUUCCUGAUCAGUGGCGGACGGGUGAGUAACGCGUGAGCAACCUGCCCUAUAUUGCGGGAUAACAACCGGAAACAGUUGCUAAUACCGCAUGACGUAUUCAGAUCGCAUGUUCUGAAUACCAAAGAAUUUUGAUAUAGGAUGGGCUCGCGUCCGAUUAGGCAGUUGGUGGGGUAACGGCCCACCAAACCGACGAUCGGUAGCCGAACUGAGAGGUUGAACGGCCACAUUGGAACUGAGAUACGGUCCAG